rnacentral:lncRNA from 1 species
UUUUUUCGUUUUAAGUUUGGAAUUUAUAAUUUUGCUCGAAGUGCAAAAGUGCAAGUGUGGGGGAAUUUGAUCACUGCAUUUUGAUAUACAUUCUUCUACUAUUAUACUUAGGCAACUUUAUAGUUUAAUAUAUUAUUUUUACUAUUUUUGUGUGUUUUUAUAUUUAAAUUUAUUUUUUCCUUUAUUUUAUUUUCGUACUUU